rnacentral:lncRNA from 1 species
AUUCUUGCCAUAUGACACUGUCUGCUCUCUCUUUGUCUUCCACCAUGAAGACAGGCAUGGUAGCUCAUGUGGAAGCUUCCCGAGGCCCUCACCCAGAAGCAGAUGCUGGAGCCAUGCUUGUACAGCUUGCAGAACUAAAGCCCAGCUGGCUUGGUUCCAUGAAUCUUUGCCCUUCUUUCCAUCCACUUCUUCCUGCUUGGACAUUGGUUACCUGGAGAAGCAGAAGCCAUUUUAAGAUGAUGAAAGCAAAAGUUAAAUGUAUGAGAUGAUGGUGCAGAAAGCCAAAAGGGGCCUCCAGAACACUGAGCUUUGUGGAGUCGUGUACCAUAGCUGUAUUGCCGACCUCUGAACUUCCUGCUGAGAUAAAAAACAAUCCUUAUGUGUUUAUACUACUUUUAUUUCAGUUUCUUUUAAGUAUAGCAAACACAUUCCAAAUAAUAUGCAUCUGAAGUUUUUGGUUUUGUUUUUAAAUUUUUUUUUUAGGGAUGGGUUCUGGCUGCGUAGUGGCUAGAGUGUAGUGGCUAUUCUUAGGUGCGGUCAUAGCUCACUACAGCCUCUAACUGGCCUCAAGCAAUCCUCCCACCUCAGCUUCCAGGGUAGCUGGGAUUACAGGAGAGCACCACACUGAAGUUUCUGUUAAAUAGAAUGUUUGCUGUAGAUUUUUAGUUGAUGUCCUCUGUUAGGUUGAAAACCUUCCUUUAUUUUCUUGUGAAAUUUCUAAGAGAUUUUUAAAUCAUUAACUGGUAUUGAACUUUAUAAAAUGAUUUUUCUGUGUCUGAGAUGAUCAUGUGAUUAUUUUUCCUGUUUAUGUCCCUUGAUGUGAUGAUUUUUAUUGUAGAUCUUCCUUUAUUGAACCAAAUUUACGUUAUUUAUAUUAACCCUAUUUGAUUGUAAUAUAUUUUUAGUAGGGUAUUAGACUCUGUUACCUAACAUUUUACUUAGCAUUAUUUUGCAUCUAUGUUCAUAAGUAAAAUAGGAGUUUUUUUCUUUAUGUGACUAGGU